rnacentral:lncRNA from 1 species
GCUACGGCGGAUAUGGCUGCAGAGCGGCCGGCUGGGAUCUUAGAUAGGAGGGGUGGAUUUGCAAGGCCUAGAAUAGCUGGGGAGUGGUUUCCCCGCGGAAUCGGCCUCCCUGCCGCUCCUGCUUUGUACUGUGACGCUCAGCCUGUGAUGACUGGUGUGGAAUCCGCUGAGCCACCUUGGCCUAAGGAGACUUUACCACUCUGAGAUUGUAAAUCUGUAAAAUAGAGAUGUAGGAUUAGCCCAUACGGUAGUUGUGGUAAAUACUGUGAGACAAUAAGGGGCCUGGGACACAGCAUUCAAAUGGGAAUAAUGAAGGUCAAGACUGUGAUUCCUGUAUCUUUGACGCUCUCGGUAUAAGCACCGUCGUGGGCACAGGGCAGUGGCCUUUAUGCAGGAGUUUAAGAGGGAAUGAAGGAAUGAAUGGGCAAACUCUGGAGUUCCCAAGUAUUCUCUCCAGGAGCUGUUUCCAUUCUUUUCGUUUCCAGCAGAUUCAAGAGGCAAUUGUUGGAAUGUAAAAAGAGCACGGGACUUGGAGUCAAAUACUUAAGUCUACCAUCAAGUAGUUGUUAAGAAUUAAACAACAAUUUUUGUGUACCCAGUUAAAUGUGGGCUGCUUAGGAAUGAUGACUGUGUCUUAAUGAUCUCUGUAUUCUUAGUGACAUGUAGAAUCAUUGUGCCUGACACAUAGUAUGUACUCAGGAAAGAAAUGGAAAAUGUGGUUUUAGCAUUGAAGGCCGGGAGAGAGGGUCUAACAGACUACAAGCCCUGCCAGGAGCAGAGUAAGGGAAACAGAGGAGAAAAGUGUUUUUAGUCUGUGCCUGAAUGUAUUUACAUCUGUUUGUAGCCCAAAAGCCAAAAGCAUACAUACGCUUGGCUUUUCUGUAGCUAUGUUUAUGGCUUUACAGCAGAUUUUAUGGAGCUGCAAUUACUUUGAUCAUGAGGGACUGAUGCUAGUGGAUUUACUUCACCAAAUGGAACUCACUUUGUGG